rnacentral:rRNA from 1 species
UGUAAACCAUUUAGUGGAUAACUUGGCUCAAGAGCUGAAGAAGGGCGUGGCAAGCUGCGAUAAGCCCUGGCGAGCCGCAUGCAGGCUUCGAACCAGGGAUACCUGAAUUGUUCCGAAAGGAACGGAAACGCAGGGAAUUGAAGCAUCUUAGUACCUGCAGGAAAAGAAACCAAACGGGAUGCUCUUAGUAAAGUCGAUCGAAAAGAGCGAAGGACAAACUGAAUCCGGCAUCGCAAGGUGUUGGAGAUGUGGUGUGGUUUGGGCACUUGCCUUUGGAUGAGUGGAAGUGGACUGGAAUGUCCCGCCAUAGAGCGUGAAAGCCGCGUACUCGAAGUCUGAAAGGGAAGAUUCCAAAUACCGUGAGUAUUGCGCGUUGGAUUUCGCGUAAGAAUAUGGGAGUCAUUAAGUUCCAAUCCUAAAUACUUCUUGAGACCGAUAGCCCACUAGUACUGUGAGGGAAAGUUGAAAAGUACCCCUGACGGGGAGUGAAAAGCACUUGAAACUAAAUGGUGACAUUAAGGCGCAGCAUGAAAGAAAAGAAGCUUGGCGAAGUUUUUUUGGGAAACUUAAAAAACGAGUCAGGUGGAUCAGUGUUGUGCCGUUCGUCCUGAAGCACGAGCGAGGGAAUUGAUGAUUGUGGCAAGGCUAACCUUUUCAAUGGGGGAGCCGCAGCGAAAGCAAAUGUUGCGCAGCCUCGGCGAGGCAACAAGUACUUUUUUGUGCUCUAGUCAUAGUUAUCAGACCCGAAACCGCGUGAUCUAAUCUUGGGCAAGAUGAAGCCAUUCAACCGAAUGGUGGAGGUCUGAAUCCAGUAUUAGUCCAACUGUUUGGGUGACUUGAGAUUAGGAGUAAUAUGCCAUUCGAACGCGGUGAUAGCGGGCUCCUUCCGAAGUAGCUCUUAGGCUAGCCCGGCUGGAGAUGGAGGGCAGGGUAGAGAUACUGAUUAAAAAGUACUGGUUGGAAACUUCCAGCUUUUUUGUCAAACUCCGAAUCUGUCCUCAUCGAAGAAAGCCGGAGUAGGGGAACCGGGGUAAGCUUGGUUUCCUGAAGGGAAAGAACCCAAACUUGGGUUAAGGCCCAUAAAUGCUGGUUAAGUGUUAACUGUAAAACGUGUCUUCUCCCUAAAACAGUAGGGAGGUUGGCUUAGAAGCAGCCAUCCUUUAAAGAAAGCGUAACAGCUCACCUAUCUAGGGAAAAGGCCGUGAAGAUAAUCUGGGCUAAACCAGCUGCCGAUACCCAGGAAGACCAGUUUGACUGGUUAUUUGGUAGGAAGGUGCUUUGGCAGAGUAGAAGCAAGGGAGUAAUCUCUUGUGGAUCUGCUAAAGAUAUGGAUCCUCGCGAUAGUAAUAAAGUAGAGACGUGAGAAUCGUCUCCGUCGAAAGGGCUAGGGUUCCUUAGCGCUCAUCGUGAGCUAAGGGUUAGUCGGUCCUAAGCUUAACAUUAAUGAAGUUUAAGCAAAAGGGAAACAGGUUCAUAUUCCUGUACCAUACAAAUACUUUCGGCAACGAUAGCAUGUCUUUUGACUCUUUGGGCUAAGUCGAUCCGCCUUGUCUGGCGGAUUAACCGGUAUAAAUCUUUGGAGAACUGUAAUGGUGAGAAAAAGAUUAAAGCCGGGAAUAGGAGCAAUCUUCGACCGAGGCCUAGAGACAAUGAAAAAAAAGGCAUGAUGGAUUUUGUAUGCCCGUACCGAGAACCGGGAAAGGUGCCCCUGGCUUAGAAAGCCAAGACGUUUCAGGAAUUUAUGGUGUCAAGGGAAUUCGGCAAAUUAGCCCUGUAUCUUUGGUAGAAAGGGUGCCUAUUGUUGAAUAAACAGUAGGUUUCAAUAACGAGGGGAGUCCGACUGUUUAUUAAAAACACAGGUGACUGCCAGCCCGCGAGGGUUUGAAUAGUCACUGACUUCUGCUCACUGCCAGUACGUCAAAACCCUUUUCAAGGGGUCUAAGCGCUGGUGAAGAGCGGGCCUAACUCUGAGGCUCUCACGGUAGCGUAAUACCUUGCCGGUUUAAUGCCGGCUUGCACCAACGAAGUAACGAGAUUCCCAAUGUCCCUGACAUCAGCCUGAUGAAAUCACUUGCAGGUGAAUAUGCCUGCAAUCUCCAACGGGAAGAGAAGACCCCACGGAAGUUUACCACAUUCUGAUGUUGUAGUGUGGUUUUUAGUGUCGAGCGUAAAUGGGAGCCUUCGAAGCAGUUUCGCCAGGAACUGUGGAGGCGAAAGUGGAACACCAUUCACUAGGAACUAUAUUGCUUACCUGUUCAAGGGACAGCAUUUGAUGGGUGGUUAGGCUGGGGUGGCACGCCCCUGAAAAUGUAUCAGGGGCGCCCAAAGGUUUGCUCAUCCGAGUCAGAAAUUCGGAGUAGAGCGCAAGGGCAAAAGCAAGCUUGACCAUGUUCCACAAAGCACGGAACGUGGAAUCGAAAGAUGGGCCUAGCGAACGCUAGUGUGUCCUUUAAUGGGUCCCUAGUCUGACAAUGAACUUACCCUGGGGGUAAUUGAGUGGUCGCGGGUAAGAGUCCACAUCGACCCCGCGGUUUGCGACCUCGCCGUCGUCUCAAGGCAUCCUGGCUGUGCAUAAGCAGCCAAGGGUGGAGGUGUUAACUCAUUAAAGCCUUACGUUAGUUGGGUUGAGAACGGUGCGAGCCAGUUUGGAUACUAUCUGUUGGAGAUGUGGAAUACCUGAAGGGAAGAUCCCCUUAGUACGAGAGGAACGGUGGGUCGUGGCCACUGGUUUAACAGUUGUCUGACAAGGCAUUUGCUGUGUAGCUACGCCAUAGUUUAUAAGAGCUGAAAGCAUCUAAGCUCGAAGAAACCCCUAAAAAGAGGUAUUCGUUCCCGAACCAUUGAAUUCUACGGGAUUCAAUUCUAGGGACAAGGACACCCGUAUAACACGGGAUUGAUAGACUGGAGGUGUAAGUGCGAAGCUUCGGCGACGCAUUCAGCCGACCAGCACUAAACGUCCAAGAGAACUCUUU